CAGCAGCCGCGGGAACACGUAGGUGGCAAGCGUUGUCCGGAUUUAUUGGGCGUAAAGCGAGCGCAGGCGGUUCCUUAAGUCUGAUGUGAAAGCCCACGGCUCAACCGUGGAAGGUCAUUGGAAACUGGGGAACUUGAGUGCAGAAGAGGAGAGUGGAAUUCCAUGUGUAGCGGUGAAAUGCGUAGAUAUAUGGAGGAACACCAGUGGCGAAGGCGACUCUCUGGUCUGUAACUGACGCUGAGGCUCGAAAGCGUGGGGAGCAAACAGGAUUAGAUACCCCAGAGUCCCUGUCUUUAUACAC
rnacentral:rRNA from 1 species